rnacentral:snoRNA from 1 species
ACGACCUUACUUGAACAGGAUCUGUUCUAUAGGAUCGUACUACUGUGUCCUUAUAUUCUAAGGAGACAGGAACCUAAAUCUGGUGGAUGACAUCUGACCGUUUGAUCAGAGCGUGAUUAACGGUUCUGGAGUGGGAACUUCAGUGACCACCACAGUUGGCUGUAGAGGAUCGUUCUCGGCUUCACUUGUGAAUCUGGGAUGGUCACACGGUUGUCUGACAGAUU